UACGGAGGGAGCUAGCGUUAUUCGGAAUUACUGGGCGUAAAGCGCACGUAGGCGGCUUUGUAAGUUAGAGGUGAAAGCCCGGGGCUCAACUCCGGAAUUGCCUUUAAGACUGCAUCGCUAGAAUCCGGGAGAGGUGAGUGGAAUUCCGAGUGUAGAGGUGAAAUUCGUAGAUAUUCGGAAGAACACCAGUGGCGAAGGCGGCUCACUGGACCGGUAUUGACGCUGAGGUGCGAAAGCGUGGGGAGCAAACAGG
rnacentral:rRNA from 1 species